AGGAUAAUAGUUAAAAAUUAACAUUUGAAUUGCAAUCAAAAAUUAUUAAUAUUAAUUAAUUUAUCUUA
rnacentral:tRNA from 1 species